UUCAAAAAAACUGGGCAUCUUGCUUCCUUCUAAUUGAAAGUUCUGCUGUUUCUGUCAAGUCAAAUUGACCACAAAAUGCUCAAAUGAGAUUCUUCAAUAGGAAUACAUAAAAAAAAAAAAUAUGUAAAAGAAUUUUCAAUGUUUAAUAUAAUAUGUAAAAUAAUUUUCUUAUAUUGGAAUUGGCAGAUGGCUGAGGGCCUUCGUGAAACGUGGGAGAAGAAGCGAUAACAUUAUCGUUCAAAAAAUUCAGGAGUAAGUAUUUAUGUGAAAGGCCAUAUUCUUUGGCCAUUUGACCUUAUUUAUGAUUGAAUUAUUUGGAUGGAAAUGAUAAACUACACAUUAUUGUCUGCUUGAGUUGUGAUCUUGAUUAUGGGCUAUUUGGUAUUUUGCCUACAAACUGUAUAGUUAAUUAUCUGUUAGCUUUUGUUUUCCUGUCACAGCUUUAUGUUUCUGUGGCUAAUUGUAGCCAAAAGUUUUAUUUAUCGAUCUUAUUUUUCACAGCAUAAAUGAAACCGCGUUUCAAGCAUCAAAUGCUGCUACAUCAUUCAAGGAAAUUCGUCGUAGAGGUCUUUCUCUUUACCAAAUUUCGUAGCUGAACUUUAAGAAGCAAUCAAACCGGUGUUAACUUCUUAUAUAAAGGUAGAUUCCCAAACUUUGAAGAAACGCUGCAGUACUGAGGUAAUUGAACGUUGUAAGGCAGAGCAUUGGGCUUACCGGAGCCAAGGUAUCUUCUUCGAUAACAAGUAAGGAUAGUCCUGAUACUACCUUUCUUUUGUUAUUGAAGUUUAUUGUUCCUUCUCUCUUGUUUGGUGGUUGUGCACCUAUAUUGAUUUGUACUUCUGUUAAUUAAUUAUAGUCCUUCUCUCUUGUUUGAGUAAUUAUUGUCUACCAUUUUGUUAGCAAAGGCUUCCCAUGGAAAUUUAGUUUGUUGUGCUGCAUGUCCAAGAUGAUUUUCGUGAUUUUAGUUUUAGAUACAUAAAAGGGAUUUUGCAUCACAACAUGAAUGACUAUUUCUA